UGCCCCCGUGGACGAACGGUUAAGUCACUGCUCUUUCAAAGCGGAGAUGCGAGUUCAAUUCUCGUCGGGGGAAUC
rnacentral:tRNA from 1 species